ensembl:snoRNA
UGUCCUGUUAUAGUACCACGCGUCUGCCGACUGCUACGGAUGUGUGGCUAUGCUAACAGGAGAGAGAAACUCCCCAUCUGUGUCUGAAGAGGAUAUGCAGCCUCUCUUCUGCUGCCUCUAAUGAAAAGAUGGAACAGUGCUUU